AACGGCUGGCGGCGCGUCUUAAGCAUGCAAGUCGGACGGCAAGAAGAGAGCUUGCUCUCUUCCUAGAGUGGCGGACUGGUGAGUAACACGUGGGUGACGUACCUUUAGCUGGGGAUAGCCGGUAGAAAUACCGGGUAAUACCGAAUAAUCUUGCUUCUUUGAUGUGAAGUAAGGAAAGGAGCUUCGGCUUCACUGAAGGAACGGCCCGCGCACUAUUAGCUAGUUGGUGAGGUAACGGCCCACCAAGGCAACGAUAGUUAUCCGGCCUAAGAGGGUGAACGGACACAUUGGGACUGAGAUACGGCCCAGACUCCUACGGGAGGCAGCAGCUAAGAAUAUUCCGCAAUGGAGGAAACUCUGACGGAGCGACGCCGCGUGGAUGAUGAAGGUCGGAAGAUUGUAAAAUCCUUUUAAGUAUGAUGAAUAACCUGAUCAGGAAAUGGGACAGGGAUGACCGUAAUACUUGAAUAAGCAACGGCUAAUUACGUG
rnacentral:rRNA from 1 species